AUCAUGAAAACUGUAACGAUUAGAAGUACAUAUACUCGCUUAAUACACUAUUAACCGUCUAACAGAGAUACUAAUACAUACCACGUAUUGACUGGGAUGCCGUGUGACCAUUGUAGCAGCAGUUAGAGAACAUGGUUGGAAAUAGGAGCAUACAUGUAUAUGUGUC